rnacentral:rRNA from 1 species
GGCUCAGGACGAACGCUGGCGGCGUGCUUAACACAUGCAAGUCGAACGGUGAAGCCUUCGGGUGGAUCAGUGGCGAACGGGUGAGUAACACGUGAGCAACCUGCCUCUGACUCUGGGAUAACCCCCGGAAACGGGUGCUAAUACCGGAUAUGACCUCCUGUCGCAUGGUGGGGGGUGGAAAGUUUUUCGGUCAGGGAUGGGCUCGCGGCCUAUCAGCUUGUUGGUGGGGUGAUGGCCCACCAAGGCGGUGACGGGUAGCCGGCCUGAGAGGGCGACCGGCCACACUGGGACUGAGACACGGCCCAGACUCCUACGGGAGGCAGCAGUGGGGAAUAUUGCGCAAUGGGCGAAAGCCUGACGCAGCGACGCCGCGUGGGGGAUGAAGGCCUUCGGGUUGUAAACCUCUUUCAGCGCCGAAGAAGCGAGAGUGACGGUAGGCGCAGAAGAAGCACCGGCUAACUACGUGCCAGCAGCCGCGGUAAUACGUAGGGUGCAAGCGUUGUCCGGAAUUAUUGGGCGUAAAGAGCUCGUAGGCGGUUUGUCGCGUCUGCUGUGAAAACUCGGGGCUUAACCCCGGGCUUGCAGUGGGUACGGGCAGACUAGAGUGUGGUAGGGGAGACUGGAAUUCCUGGUGUAGCGGUGAAAUGCGCAGAUAUCAGGAGGAACACCGGUGGCGAAGGCGGGUCUCUGGGCCAUAACUGACGCUGAGGAGCGAAAGCGUGGGGAGCGAACAGGAUUAGAUACCCUGGUAGUCCACGCCGUAAACGUUGGGCGCUAGGUGUGGGGCUCUUUCCACGAGUUCCGUGCCGCAGCUAACGCAUUAAGCGCCCCGCCUGGGGAGUACGGCCGCAAGGCUAAA